GGGGGUGAACUGGUCUCGACAUUGAUUGCCGAAGGUUAAACCGCAAGCCGAGGUGGGCUGGCCUCGUAAAAAGCCCAAACGCCUUAACUGGCAACGUUCUGAAAAUGCAGGCCCAGCCUGCACUCCGCGCUGCUUAAGUCAGCGCAAGCGCUCUGAAAACUUUGCGAUUGGUUUUCUGACCGCUCAAUGAAAUCGCUCGCCUUGGAGAGGUCUCGUAACCAAGGUUAAGAGAACGAGAAUAGGGUAUGGCGGAUCUUGUUUCUGGGAGCCUUCAGAUCCGAAAUCUAAAUCAGGAACUAAGCUUGUAGACGUUGGCUGGACGGAUCAAUGGACGCGCGUUCGACUCGCGCCACCUCCACCA
rnacentral:tmRNA from 1 species